GACGAACGCUGGCGGCGUGCUUAACACAUGCAAGUCGAACGGAAAGGCCCUGCUUUUGUGGGGUGCUCGAGUGGCGAACGGGUGAGUAACACGUGAGUAACCUGCCCUUGACUUUGGGAUAACUUCAGGAAACUGGGGCUAAUACCGGAUAGGAGCUCCUGCUGCAUGGUGGGGGUUGGAAAGUUUCGGCGGUUGGGGAUGGACUCGCGGCUUAUCAGCUUGUUGGUGGGGUAGUGGCUUACCAAGGCUUUGACGGGUAGCCGGCCUGAGAGGGUGACCGGCCACCAUGGGCCUGAGAUACGGCCCAGCCUCCUACGGGAGGCAGCAGUGGGGAAUAUUGCACAAUGGGCGGAAGCCUGAUGCAGCAACGCCGCGUGCGGGAUGACGGCCUUCGGGUUGUAAACCGCUUUCGCCUGUGACGAAGCGUGAGUGACGGUAAUGGGUAAAGAAGCACCGGCUAACUACGUG
rnacentral:rRNA from 1 species